rnacentral:rRNA from 1 species
ACUACGGGAGGCAGCAGUGAGGAAUAUUGGUCAAUGGGCGGAAGCCUGAACCAGCCAAGCAGCGUGCGGGAUGAAGGCCCUACGGGUCGUAAACCGCUUUUGCACGGGGAUAACACCCUCCACUUGUUGAGGUCUGCAGGUACCGUGCGAAUAAGGGCCGGCUAAUUCCGUACCAGCAGCCGCGGUAAUACGGAAGGCCCGAGCGUUAUCCGGAUUCAUUGGGCUGAAAGGGAGCGUAGGCGGGCGUUCAAGUCAGCUGUAAAAUCGCGCGGCUCAACCGCGCGCCGCAGUUGAAACUGGAAGCCUUGAGUUCACAACAGGCAGGCGGAAGUCGUGGUGUAGCGGUGAAAUGCAUAGAUAUCACGAGGAACCCCGAUUGCGAAGGCAGCCUGCCGGGGUGCGACUGACGCUGAGGCUCGAAGGUGCGGGUAUCAAACAGGAUUAGAUACCCUUGUAGUC